UUACCAUGAAUGGUCAAAUUCUAUUUUACCGACACAUUUAUAACAUUCUUACUUAUACUCCUGCUCCUGUGUUGAUAUAAGAUUUAUGAGCAUUUAGUUAAUUCAACAUUAUAUAACAGUGAUUGUGUUCUUUUAAUUUUAUCAGAUUUCUACUAUGCGGGUUCUAGCAUAAAUCACUGGACGUAUAUCCCACAUACACAUCUACGCCUCCAGGGCUUAUCCAUUCGACUCCACGACCGACUCGGAUCAUUCAAUAUCUAAUUCCUAAUUAUUAUAAGAACCACUACCGGAUUUUAUAUAUUCAAGCUCAUUUGAACCUCCAGACUAUCAAGAACUCAUUCUUCUCAUCCGGCUCACCUCUUGCACGGUUCACCUUCAGUGUAUCUCAGAACUUGCCUAUUUACCUUAUCUUGGCCUACUAUUCUCUAAUCGAUAUUUAUGUUUUUAUACUAACUUAUUACUAAAGCGUUUAUCUUUAUUAUUCAUUGAUCAGCUGUUUUAGUUUUAAUAUCAGAUUAUUUACAGGAUUCCAUUUCUACCUAUUUCGGCAUAUUCUUCUGGAUGCGAAAUUUAUCAUAUUCCUAGUUCUUAUACGGACCACUACCGAACCUUAUAUAUUUAAGUUCAUUUGCACAUCCAGGCUAUCAGGAACUCGCUCUUCUCAUCCGGCUCACCUCU